rnacentral:lncRNA from 1 species
CUAGUCUACAACUGAGUGGCUUCAAACAACUAUAAUCAUUUAUUUUUCUCAUGAAGUCUGCCAUGUGGGCAGGGCUCAGUGGAGAAAGCUCAUCUCCAUUCCAUUCAGCAUUAGCUGGAGUUGCUCAAGUGAGAAUUGAAGACGAGUCACUAACAUGGUUGGCAAGUUGGUGCAGGAUAUGGCUGAGAACUCAGCGUGGACUGAAGCGUGGGGUCUUGGUUCUUUUCAUGUGGGUCUCUAUGUGACCUGGACUUCCUGGCAGCGUGGUGACUGGAUUUCAAGGUCAAGCAUCCUAAAAGAGACUCGGCAGAAGCCUCCAUUGUUUAGUCUUGUUCCCAGACUUACCUGAAUAUAUAACCAGUGAAGAUCUCUCAUUUAAUAAAGCUUCCCUCCCCCACA